UUCAAGUGCCAAAGCCAAGAUUUGAAACAGAAGUACUUGAUGUAUUCUGCAUAUGAGCCGUUUGCUGGAUCACACUCUGAUAGAGAUUUACAAGAAAUCUGGUCUGCCGUAUUGCCUCAAACAUAUUUCAAUCAGCGAUUACACGUUUUGG